CCAGACUCCUACGGGAGGCAGCAGUGGGGAAGAUUGGACAAUGGGGGGAACCCUGAUCCAGCGACGCCGCGUGAGGGAAGAAGUAUUUCGGUAUGUAAAGCUCUAUCAGCAGGGAAGAACGAAAUGACGGUACCUGACUAAGAAGCCCCGGCUAACUACGUGCCAGCAGCCGCGGUAAUACGUAGGGGGCAAGCGUCAUCCGGAUUUACUGGGUGUAAAGGGAGCGUAGACGGCGAUGCAAGCCAGAUGUGAAAGCCCGGGGCUCAACCCCGGGACUGCAUUUGGAACUGUGUGGCUGGAGUGUCGGAGAGGCAGGCGGAAUUCCUAGUGUAGCGGUGAAAUGCGUAGAUAUUAGGAGGAACACCAGUGGCGAAGGCGGCCUGCUGGACGAUGACUGACGUUGAGGCUCGAAAGCGUGGGGAGCAAACAGGAUUAGAUACCCCCGUACA
rnacentral:rRNA from 1 species